GCGUUUAUUAUUGUUUGAUCAAUGCUACCACCUGGUGGACAUCUGGAGCAAGAUUUCCCUGGCCUAGGGCUGUGGUUCUGGGGGAGCCUAAUCAGAGGAGGGAGAAGGAACUGGGGAGCAUUCUGAAUGCAGGAGUGUGCAUGUGUGUGUUAGGAUUACACACACCGAGGUUUAUUAGGAUCCAGCAGGCUCAGCCCUGGUUCGAAUCAGGGGCACCACGGAAAAUGAGAAAGGCCCUGAGGGGAAGGGGGAAGGAAGCCGGGUUGGCCCAGUGCCUCCCUCCUUCCCUCUCUCUCCCUUUCCCUCCUCCAAGCCUGGCCUAAGCCAAGAGGAACCAGCUUCAGGGAAGGUGAAGAGAGAGAGAAGAAGGUCACUGCUGACGUCAGGGACACUCAGGUAGGAGGGGUCUUCAGAUGUGAACAGAGCUGCUCCCUUGAAUGAGGACCCAGAGUGCUGCCUCUUCACCUCUUCCAGCACCAUCGCUGUCACUGCUUGAGAACUUCACAGGAACUCUGGCACCACCAAGAGCCUUCAGUGACUGUCUAAAGCAGGAAGAGGGCUGGAGGAGAGGGCAGAGCACCAUGGACAUGGUGGCCCAGUGGCCUUAGGCAAGAGGACCAGGGACAGCCUGAUUUCCCUUGUGGAUGUACUUAUGUCCAGUGUAAGCUCCUUCCUGGGUCUGCUCCAAGUUUGGAGGCAGCAGAGCACAGUGGAGAGAGCAAGUGAGUUAGAGUCUCAGUUCCUGGGUUAGAGUCCUGGAUCUGACCUAGAUUGUCUGUUCUACCUUGGGCAAAAUACCUUGCCUCCGCAUGCCUCAGUUUGUCCAUCGUAAAACAUGACAAAACAUGAAGUUUGGAUAGAUGGUGUCUGAGGCUGUCUUGUGCUUUAUGGUUCAUGAGCACAUACACACAGACCCAUAAUAUUCUCUCUCUCAGCCACGCUGCCAGGUAGAUAUGAUUGUCGCAGACUUCAGAUAAGGAGACUGAAGGCUAGUGGUUAAAUUGCUUGCUUAAGCUCCCAAGGCCAGCAGUGGCAGAGCAGGACUGGAAGCCUGGCUCCUAAUUCCAAUCUUAGCCUCUUCCAAGUUCACCACAUUCUUCUCCAAGUGGCCUCUAAGACCUUUUACUGGAAAAUCCCUAGACCUCGAUAAGGAGGCUCUCUUUUGUCUGUAUAUUGGGGACUGGACCAGAGGACCUGGGAUGUCCUUCUAGGCUGAUAUCAUGAGACUGAAGCCCAGUGCCCCACAUGCCCCACCCAGCUCCUUAGAGAGAGGCCCCAGGGCCUGGUCGUGGUGGGUCCACCUGCUGAACCAAGCCUGAGACGUAGCCAAGGACAUCUACCCUGGUGCUGCCUGUU